rnacentral:tRNA from 1 species
AUAGCUCAGUCGGUCAGAGCGUAGGUCUAAGAUUUCAGUUCGAAGAUCUAAGGUCGCAGGUUCGACCCCUGCU